rnacentral:ribozyme from 1 species
GGAACAAUACAGGGGUCAGAGUGACAAAGAGACACGAAGUCAAAAAGAAGCCGCCGAUCGGAUGAAACGAAAUAACAGACAACGCGACCGUCAGAGAGUCAGAAAUUAUGCUCUGCGUGAUAAUGUUCUUCCUUGAUGGAAAUUUUUUUUUUUUUUUUUUUUUUUUUUUUU